rnacentral:lncRNA from 1 species
CCGCCUAAUUUUUUUCUUGCGGUGUAAAAAUGUUUCAAAAGAUGUCGCUUAGUUUUUUUUGUAUAUGAUAUCAUUCAGUCUAUACGCUUUUGAAACUGACCCUGUUUAACCGAACACUUUUCUUUGUAAGAGUUAUCUCCCCAAACACUGUUUUUCUUGUUAUCAGAUCUCCUCCGCAACCGUAAAAGAAAGCGACAAAUUCAUUUUUCCAAAUUGCUCGUUAUAUCCUCAGGAUGUUACGUUUUAUUUUCACCGAAGCUUUAUGAAUACUCCAUAUGAGAGUUAUUUCCCCUUUUGUAAUGAAAUAAAUGAAAUAAAUUUGUUACUGGAAAACCAUUAGUGAUAGAGGCCUAGGGUCUUUUGAUUUGAGGUCCUUGGUCCAAAAAAAUGAAAAUGAGGUCAAGGUCAAAGGUCAAGGUCAUGUUCAAAAAUAUGAUUUUGGCUUGUUAUCUCUUAUUUUCAGAAAUCCUAUAAGAUAUCGACAAAAUAUUUUCACAAAAUGUGUGUUACGACAUGGCGUAACACGUAAAUUUUAGUUAAAAGGGUACGUAAACAUUUGAUGCGACUUUUCCCCCUUUUAUCUCUUAUAUUAGUUGUAUGGUAAUAUAACUCAUUAUCAUUAUAAAGUAAAGGCUUAGGGUCUUUUGAUUUAAGAUCCUUGGUCCAAAAAAAUGAAAAUUAGGUCAAGGUCAAAGGUCAAGGUCAAAUUCUAUAUUUUGAUUUUUGCUUAUUUUCACUCUUUUUCAUUAACCUUAUAAGAUUUCAACAAAUUAUUUUUACUAAAUUGUUAGUUGCGACAUGUCGUAACUUAUAAAUUUUGAUUGGAAGGG